GAUGAAGAACGCAGCGAAAUGCGAUACGUAAUGUGAAUUGCAGAAUUCAGUGAAUCAUCGAGUCUUUGAACGCACAUUGCGCCCCCUGGUAUUCCGGGGGGCAUGCCUGUCCGAGCGUCAUUGCUGCCCUCAAGCACGGCUUGUGUGUUGGGCCUCCGCCCCCCGGCUCCCGGGGGGCGGGCCCGAAAGGCAGCGGCGGCACCGCGUCCGGUCCUCGAGCGUAUGGGGCUUCGUCACCCGCUCCGUAGGCCCGGCCGGCGCCCGCCGGCGACCCCCCUCAAUCUUUCCAGGUUGACCUCGGAUCAGGUAGGAACACCCGCUGAACUUAAGCAUAUCAAUAAGCGGAGGA
rnacentral:misc_RNA from 1 species